rnacentral:rRNA from 1 species
CCUACGGGGGGCUGCAGUAGGGAAUAUUGCUCAAUAGGGGAAACCCUGAAGCAGCAACGCCGCGUGGAGGAUGAAGGUUUUAGGAUUGUAAACUCCUUUUGUUAGAGAAGAUUAUGACGGUAUCUAACGAAUAAGCACCGGCUAAAACCGUGCCAGCAGCCGCGGUAAUACGGAGGGUGCAAGCGUUACUCGGAAACACUGGGCGCAAAGAGUGCGUAGGCGGGGUAAUAAGUCAGAUGUGAAAUCCUGUAGCGUAACUACAGAACUGCAUUUGAAACUGGUCCUCUGGAGUGUGGGAGAGGUAGGUGGAAUUCUUGGUGUAGGGGUGAAAUCCGUAGAGAUAAAGAAGAAUACUCAAUGCGAAGGCGACCUGCUGGAACAUUACUGACGCUGAUGGACGAAAGCGUGGGGAGCAAACAGGAUUAGAUACCCGAGUAGUC